UACAGAGGUCCCGAGCGUUGUUCGGAUUCAUUGGGCGUAAAGGGUGCGUAGGCGGUCCUCUAAGUUUGAUGUGAAAUUCCGGGGCUCAACCCUGGCAUGGCAUUGAAUACUGGAGGACUAGAGUACCGGAGAGGAAACUGGAAUUUACGGUGUAGCAGUGAAAUGCGUAGAGAUCGUAAGGAAGACCAGUGGCGAAGGCGGCGACCUGGGCAGAUACUGACGCUGAGGUGCGAAAGCGUGGGGAGCAAACAGG
rnacentral:rRNA from 1 species